UACGUAGGGGGCAAGCGUUGUCCGGAAUUAUUGGGCGUAAAGAGCUCGUAGGCGGUCUGUCGCGUCGGCUGUGAAAACUCAGGGCUCAACCCUGAGCCUGCAGUCGAUACGGGCAGACUAGAGUUCGGUAGGGGAGACUGGAAUUCCUGGUGUAGCGGUGAAAUGCGCAGAUAUCAGGAGGAACACCGGUGGCGAAGGCAGCUCUCUGGCCCCAAACUGACGCUGAGGUGCGAAAGCGUGGGGAGCGAACGGG
rnacentral:rRNA from 1 species